GCCACUCUCCACCGUUGCUCCCUCCUUGCGCUGACAUUUUUCUUGUUUUCUGCUGGUGAUGGAGAUCAAAGAGAGGGAGGAGAACGUGGAGGGGUUGAUCAAUGAUUGGGAGGAGGAAAGAGAUGCUGUUGCGAGAGAAAGAGAGAGAAAAGGAGAAGAGAAAGAAGAAUCUGAUUUGCUUUGUCCAGAGAUGCUUUGACGGUUUUCUACAUGACCGUGUAAGUAUCGUAUUGACUUUAUUUAUGAUCAUGCAUGCGAGAUAUUAACUAAACCGGCUUUGCAUAUCAAAGAUUUGGUACCCGAAUUGUAUAUUAAAAAAUAUUUAGGGAAUGUGAUUUCCUUCUUUACCAAAAUAUAUAUACAUGAUGGUUUUAGAAAGUUGUUUAGAUUUGUUUACAGAACUUCGUCAUCAGCAUCAAAUCAUGUCUUUGUAAUAGCAAGUUGCAAAAGUCAAACAAGUUUAGUUGAACGUGUUUGCAAUAUAUAUAUGUCGAUCAUCCUAGAGCAUAAGUAUAUAAAUUCAUUGCAUUUAGGUAUGUUCACAACAUGGAGGCAGAAGAGAUCAUCCAUCACAGUGGUGAGCAGAAUAGAAACUGACCAGCAGCUCCCUCCCUUUUCUCUUCUUUUUCUUAUGGAUCAGUUUAUAGGGUGAAUUAAGUCAAAUAGGAUUCAAAAUAGAGGAAAAAGAGAGGGAGUUGCUGGAUUGUCUUUUCAAGGAUGUUUUGGGAUUAAGCUAAACAGGGGACAUUGCUAGGGAAACACUAAAAUGGGGCACCUCACCAGAAAUGUCUAAAAAGAAAGAUUUUUUCUAGGAAUUCAUCCUUAAAUUUACCUACUUUCUACAACAGAAAAAGUCAAACUAGAAUCCAUCAUUAGAUGAGUGGAUCCACUUUAUUAUUCUGAGAGAAAUCUUUUGCAUUUGGAGUUGGACUUUCACCCAUCAUUGCUUAACAAUUAAGCAAGAUUGCAUUGUUGGUCUUAAGCAGAAAUGCUGUGGCUUCCAUCUGCUGAUGGCAAUAGCUUUUGGGUUGCUUUACAGUUAAGCAAGAUUAAGAUUGCACUGCUAAUGUAAUAGUGAUAUGGGUUCCAUGAACAAUGAAAUUACUGCUGGGUUGAUUAAUACUAGUGAUGCUAUGUGACCCCAAACUGUGGCUGGCACAGUUUCAAUUUUCAUAAACAUCUCAGAAAGUGAACUGGUAGUGAUCAGACACCCUAUUUCUUAUAAGAUUUUGUGUUAAUAACAACCGUUCUUUUUCCAUUUUCUCUGGUAAUUACAGAAAUUUGAGCUUGGAUGAGAUUCCUUGAGCACUCAGUAGACGUAAGCCUGUCAAAUUCACAUGACAUGAUAUAGUGAGCAUAAAAAGAGAGAUCAAGUUCAUGAGAUUUCUCUUAGUACAAGGUUAAAGAAGGAUGAACUAUUAUUAACGAGGUGCUAAUUUAAGAAUAUCGAUCUGAAAACCCUCAUUUUUGCUUCCUAAGGUAGUGAAAAAUUGGUGCUAUCAUUUGAUAGAUUUACUCAAAGCAGGAUGAUUAUGGUUUCUGUCAAGUAACUCAUGGAGCUGCCACUAUGAACAAGUCUGUCGAAACUAAUUGAUAAAGGCACAAAUUCUCUGGAUUCAAAGGCAGACUGUACUGUGAUGGACAAAUUUGAAUCACAGUAUAGAAUCUUGUCUUAGAAAAGUAUUAAUUAGCUCGUAUUGUAAUUGGAAUUCUCAUAAUCAUGGAUUGUGACUCCGAAACACUUCUGAAGUCCUGUCAAAUUUACACUGAAGAGAGGCAGUAUCAUAUCCAUGGAUUGGUGGGCUACAAUUGCUUGGAGCACUGACUUGUUAUUAAAUUUAGGGAUAGCGUGGAGACUAAUAAAAAGGAAGUAUCAAACAUUAAAAUCUGCAGUAAAGAUGGCCACCAAAAAAAGCAGUGGACCAAAGGCACUCAGAACACUGCAUCCUCUUAUCACCAUCCUUUAAUUGCCCUAUAACCAAUACUAUUCUAUGUUAUCACUUGUGCAAUUGGCAGAUUAACUUUCUAAAGUGAUCUCUCAGAUCAUAUCACUUGUGCAAAUGGCAGAUUAACUUUCUAAAGUGAUCUCUCAGAUCAAAUCCUCCUCUCCAAGCUAACAUCUUUCAUCACCAUUACAUGCUCAUCAAAAAGCAUGGGGAAAGGGCACACUACAUUCACAUACAGCAAUCCAAUUCCUUGAGGAGAUGGUUGUGUUUCCUCAGAUUUCUUUUCUCUUUUAUGAGUUCACUUUCUCUACUGCUUUGAUAGUAACUUGAAUUCAAGGUAAUUUUUUUCUCUUUUUUCUUUUGGAGAUAAUCUCCCUUGUCUGUAUGUCAAUGGAUAUGUUCUUUUUUAAUGGGAAAUUUGUAUAUGUAUUUUGCAUUCCAUCUGGUUAACAAAGUGCUUUGUCAUCAAAUGGAUAAGAACAAAUAAUUAAACUUGGACUUGAACCUGUCUCAGACAGGACACUGUUAGAAUUCUAUCAGGACACUGUUAGCAUACUUUGACAUGCUUUAUUCUGUGUGAAUUCUGCUAUACAAAGUGCUUUGCCAUCCAGUGGAUAAGAACAAAUAAUUGAACUUGGACUUGAACCUGACUGUGCCCAUGAGACACUUCGAAUUCUAACAGGGCACUGUUAGCACACCUUGACAUGCAUAUGGUAGAAAAGAUUGGUUCUUGAGAGGAUUUUGGUUUGAACAUAUCAUGACUGGAAACUUGAAUGGGGAAGGAAACUCUGAACAUGUAUCAUACAGAUGCCACAAACUGUUUACAUUUCCUACAGAGACAAAUAAGCAGGAGUUUUUACAGUAAUCCUCACAACAACAUGAACUUUGAUCACACAGACGAAAGGUCUCUAUCAAAGACCAACAAUUUUACAGUAGAAAUGCUUCAUUGCUGAGACAGGAUUCUCCUAAAGCAUUUCACCUCAGUAACAUGGAUACAAAGAGAUCGGGGACUUAUAGGUCCAAUUUAGAGGGCUCUCCAACGCGAUGGGAAGUCGUCUGCUAAGGUAAUUAUCUAUUAUGCUUGGAAGUCAUCAUCAUCUAUCUUCCACAGAGAGUAAGAGCAGUACUCCCAGGUAGGAGAAGGCAUUGUGAGGCGCGAAAUAUCGCAAGCUUCGUCCUUGCACUCCUCGAAGCUCAGCUCACCGAUCAUGUCAGGUGCAGCGAUCUCAUUCCAGAUUUGAUCCAUGGGGUAGCCACUGACAGCGGCAUCAUCAAUCUCUCCCAACGCCGCAGUUAAGCUGCUGCAGCUACUGCUGCUGUUAAGCUCAUGGGCGUUCACAGCCGCAACUUCCGAUGGGGGUUGACAGUCGGCGGCGAAGUUGUCGGUGACCGAGGACGACGAAGACGAUGAAGGAGACGCCUUUUUCUUGCGUUCCUGCGCCUUCUUUCUCAUGUGAGUUCUCCAGUAGUUCUUGAUCUCAUUAUCUGUGCGGCCCGGCAAUCGUCGGGCAAUUCGAGACCACCUAUGGACAGACAGGCUUCAUCAAAAUGGCGCUGUGCACACGAAGAACACAAGGAGGUUUAGAUCGAUGACGGACCUGUUGCCCCAGCGAGAGUGGAGGUCGAGGACGAGGCGCUCUUCCUGGGGGGACAUGCGGCCGCGUUUGAGGCCGGGGUGGAGAUAGUUAACCCAGCGCAACCUGCAGCUCUUGCCUGUUCUGUUGAGACCUACAACAACAACAGAUGAAAGGAGAGGCGGGGUUAAGCAGGUAGCUUCGUCCACCCACCGUCGCCAAAGUAAUCUGCCCACCUAGCCUUCCCCCCCCUCAAACCUGUGACUUUGGCUAGGAAAUCCCAACGACGGUCACCGAAUAAUCCCACAAAGCAUACCAGUUGCAGGUCCUCCUGCUCGGUCCAGGGUCCCUUUCGCAUCACCAUCUUCUUCUUCUCCUUCUUUAUCUCCUCCUCCUCCUCCUCCUCCUGCUUCUGCUGCCUCUCACGGAGCUCUUCCACUGCUCCUCCACUCUCCUUCCCUUCAGCUAAUGGACUGCAGCAGCUACCGCACUACUCAUUUUGUCUGAAUAGUUUGAUAGCCUUUGCUGCGCUACCCUCUUAUUUAUAGGCAGCCCUUUGCUGUGUCAAGUGAUGUCACAAGUGUUUUUGAGGUCCUACAAAGCACAAGAGGUUACAGGACAGAAUUCAAUUAGUAGAUACAGUCUUCCAGGUUUAUAAGGGUCUCCAAAUCUUAUAUUCGAAGGAGUCCAUGCUUUGUCCGAGUCUUAGCAUCAUAUGAUAAUGAUAAGAUUGCCUCUUUAUUGAUUGUAAAGAAAGUAAGGCAGAAACUUUCUUUCCAAGCACAAAUAUGAUUGAGAAUCUUUGUGCUCAUGGCGAUCAUGCGUCUCACUCGAUUGAGCUGAUGCUAUGUUUGAGUGCACUCCAUGGCUCUUACUGCAUAUUGAAGCUCUACAUCAUUCAGGGAAGAUGAGUUUCUAUUACAAAUAAUAUCUUAAUGUUCUUUUUGGAUUAGAUCCUGAAACAGGCAUUAAGUUUAUUUGCUGUUCCAAAUUUGGAUAGGAAAACUUUUCUGAGUCCUACUCUAAUCCUAGUCCUACUCAAUCAAAAAAACUAGUCUACAUAUAAAUAGGAUUUAGCUUAGAAGAAUUUAUGAAUGCCUCUCAGGGGUGGUUUGGAGAUUAAGAGUGACUCUCUUAGAACUUCUUCUCUAUUGUUCUGUCAACAUAUUCUUGUUGGUUUCUUAUGUUGAUCUAAUAUGGUUGUAUGCACUAUUCCCAGACCACUAUUAAUAUGAAAUUAAGAGAACAUAUGUGAUUUUUCUGUAUUAAUCUAACAUCAUAUGUGAAAUGACGCAACUAAGCUUUUUAGGUUAAGUUGAGACAACAAGCAUCACCCAUACACUGGUCAGAAUAGUUGAGUUGCUUCGUAGUCUGACCUCCAUGUUCCUGGGAUUGCCUAACUUAGUAGGACGACCUGCCUAUCUAUUCCCUUCUUAAUGAGUUGGCUCAUCUCAAAUGAUAAAGAAUGACCUCUUUUCUAAAGACCUGUAAUGUUAAGCUUUCCUCCUUUUUGCCAAAUGCUCCUUUAAGGAUAAAGUACGUUUGUUUAAUCUGAGUUAGUGCUACAUUAACACAUUAACCAGUACAAUUCUACUAACACAACACGUGAGCCAGUACAAAUUGUACUAACUUGAACUGUGUAUCUGAAGGUCAACUAUCCUCCAUUCAAACAGAUGUAUCUAUCAGCAUAUUUCCUUAUGCAAUCAUUACACACUGUAAGAGGCUGUAGAUAUGAAACCAAGAAUAAGCUGUCUAUUCGGAUAAGAAGAAGGGAUGUGAAAGACUAUGUUGAAUCUUCUUGGGCUUCUAAUUUACUGUGGCAAAAUGGCAACUUGGCCACUCAUGCUUCUCUUUCUGAUCGCUGUCGGUAUUGCUAAGUAUCUUCAGCUUUGCAUGCGCGUCCGGGGAGACGCAUGUUCGUGACCUCAUGGACACACACAGCUUAAGAACUCGAUCUCAUUGGACACGCAUGCGAGCUGGAUAGGGUAUCAACUUGUGGCGGUUGUUUUGGGCACAGUUUAAGAUAUGGCCAAUGGAUGGAAAAGGAAGCGUCGAUGUCAGUGGUGUAUGUGUUGCACAACGAUGCAGAUUCCAAGUGCAAAGCCACGAGAUCUAGUGGUUCUCUGUGAGCCACGACUUCAUGUUCUUGGGCUGAGAAGGUUGCUUGGGAAAGAAACACAGGGCUACGCCGCCUGGAUUUGACAGGAAUGAACUCCAUGGAAGUGCAAGAGUCACCGAAGAAGAAAAGCUAAGCCAACUUGACGUGGAGGCAACCAAUAUGUGGGCAGCAGCAUGUCGACAUAUCUGAGGUAGCAGAUCCUUUAUCUGCAUUAUAAGGAAAAGGAGGAACACUGUAGCAAGUUUGUCGGCUUUGUUGUUGGUGAGGCAGGUUGCUCACUAUGCACUGUCGCGCUCAGCACAGUGUCAAAUGCCAUCAUGGCCAUGGCAAAUCUGGUGGAGAGUUUGGUUUCAGGCGAUUCCACAGUAGCUCAGUUUUGUGGAUCAAGAUGGUGGAGGGUUCCGAUUUCUUCAGCCGUCUCCAUCGGGAUUCAUGGCGGGUUUGCUGGGGUCGAGGCAUGAAGUAGUGGACCCUGAGAUUUCAGCUACGGAAGCUCUGCAGGACUGACUCACUUAAACCCUAACAUGGUUCUGUUUAAAGAACGUCGGGUUGGAAGAUUAAGGUCACACGUAUUCUAAUGGAGGCAUGCAUGAACAUUUGAUGGGUAUUGGUCUUCUUCCACCAAAGCAG
rnacentral:lncRNA from 1 species